rnacentral:rRNA from 1 species
GCGGGCGCAGCUACCAUGCAAGUCGAACGAUGAACCGCUUUCGGGCGGGGAUUAGUGGCGAACGGGUGAGUAACACGUGGGCAAUCUGCCCUGCACUCUGGGACAAGCCCUGGAAACGGGGUCUAAUACCGGAUAUGACUGUCCGCCGCAUGGUGGAUGGUGUAAAGCUCCGGCGGUGCAGGAUGAGCCCGCGGCCUAUCAGCUUGUUGGUGAGGUAGUGGCUCACCAAGGCGACGACGGGUAGCCGGCCUGAGAGGGCGACCGGCCACACUGGGACUGAGACACGGCCCAGACUCCUACGGGAGGCAGCAGUGGGGAAUAUUGCACAAUGGGCGAAAGCCUGAUGCAGCGACGCCGCGUGAGGGAUGACGGCCUUCGGGUUGUAAACCUCUUUCAGCAGGGAAGAAGCGAGAGUGACGGUACCUGCAGAAGAAGCGCCGGCUAACUACGUGCCAGCAGCCGCGGUAAUACGUAGGGCGCAAGCGUUGUCCGGAAUUAUUGGGCGUAAAGAGCUCGUAGGCGGCUUGUCACGUCGGUUGUGAAAGCCCGGGGCUUAACCCCGGGUCUGCAGUCGAUACGGGCAGGCUAGAGUUCGGUAGGGGAGAUCGGAAUUCCUGGUGUAGCGGUGAAAUGCGCAGAUAUCAGGAGGAACACCGGUGGCGAAGGCGGAUCUCUGGGCCGAUACUGACGCUGAGGAGCGAAAGCGUGGGGAGCGAACAGGAUUAGAUACCCUGGUAGUCCACGCCGUAAACGGUGGGCACUAGGUGUGGGCAACAUUCCACGUUGUCCGUGCCGCAGCUAACGCAUUAAGUGCCCCGCCUGGGGAGUA